rnacentral:rRNA from 1 species
GAUGAACGCUAGCUACAGGCUUAACACAUGCAAGUCGAGGGGCAGCAUGGUCUUAGCUUGCUAAGGCCGAUGGCGACCGGCGCACGGGUGAGUAACACGUAUCCAACCUGCCGUCUACUCUUGGACAGCCUUCUGAAAGGAAGAUUAAUACAAGAUGGCAUCAUGAGUCCGCAUGUUCACAUGAUUAAAGGUAUUCCGGUAGACGAUGGGGAUGCGUUCCAUUAGAUAGUAGGCGGGGUAACGGCCCACCUAGUCUUCGAUGGAUAGGGGUUCUGAGAGGAAGGUCCCCCACAUUGGGUACUGAGACACGGGACCAAACUCCUACGGGAGGCAGCAGUGAGGAAUAUUGGUCAAUGGACGCAAGUCUGGGACCAGCCAUGCCGCGUGCAGGAAGACGGGCUCUAUGAGUUGUAAACUGGCUUUUGACUAGGGUAAACUCAGAUACGCGUAUCUGAC